CUGGCUGUGGCCUAAUGGUAAGGCACUUGACUACGGUUACUGUUAAACAGUUUCGCAAUCAAGGGAUUGCAGGUUCGAGUCCUGUCAGCCAGG
rfam:Candida tropicalis MYA-3404 genomic scaffold supercont3.1, whole genome shotgun sequence.